GACGAACGCUGGCGGCGUGCUUAACACAUGCAAGUCGAACGGAAAGGCCCUGCUUUUGUGGGGUGCUCGAGUGGCGAACGGGUGAGUAACACGUGAGUAACCUGCCCUUGACUUUGGGAUAACUUCAGGAAACUGGGGCUAAUACCGGAUAGGAGCUCCUGCUGCAUGGUGGGGGUUGGAAAGUUUCGGCGGUUGGGGAUGGACUCGCGGCUUAUCAGCUUGUUGGUGGGGUAGUGGCUUACCAAGGCUUUGACGGGUAGCCGGCAUGAGAGGGUGACCGGGCACAAUGGGACUGCGAGACGGCCCAGACUGCUACGGGAGGCAGCAGUGGGGAAUCUUGCACAAUGGGCGGAAGCCUGAUGCAGCAACGCCGCGUGCGGGAUGACGGCCUUCGGGUUGUAAACCGCUUUCGCCUGAGACGAAGCGUGAGUGACGGUAAUGGGUGAAGAAGCACCGGCUAACUACGUG
rnacentral:rRNA from 1 species